rnacentral:rRNA from 1 species
UACAGAGGGUGCAAGCGUUAAUCGGAAUUACUGGGCGUAAAGCGUGCGUAGACGGUUACAUAAGUCGGGUGUGAAAGCCCCGGGCUCAACCUGGGAAUUGCAUUCGAGACUGCGUAGCUAGGGUGCGGAAGAGGGAAGCGGAAUUUCCGGUGUAGCGGUGAAAUGCGUAGAUAGUCGGAAGGAACACCAGUGGCGAAAGCGGCUUCCUGGUCCAGCACCGACGUUCAGGCACGAAAGCGUGGGGAGCAAACAGG